rnacentral:rRNA from 1 species
GGGCUAGUGUUGUUCGGAAUCACUGGGCGUAAAGGGAGCGUAGGCGGGCGUUUAAGUUAGGUGUUUAAUCCCGGGGCCCAACCCCGGACCGGCACCUAAAACUGGACGUCUUGAAUAGUGGAGAGGUCGGUGGAAUUGGAGGUGUAGCGGUGGAAUGCGUAGAGAUCUCCAAGAACACCCGUUGCGAAGGCGGCCGACUGGACACAUAUUGACGCUGAGGCUCGAAAGCAUGGGGAGCAAACAGG